rnacentral:ncRNA from 1 species
UGGUGGGGUAACAGCCUACCAAGGCAACGAUGCGUAGCCGACCUGAGAGGGUGAUCGGCCACAUUGGAACUGAGACACGGUCCAGACUCCUACGGGAGGCAGCAGUGGGGAAUAUUGCGCAAUGGGGGAAACCCUGACGCAGCAACGCCGCGUGGGUGAUGAAGGUCUUCGGAUUGUAAAGCCCUGUUUUCUGGGACGAUGAUGACGGUACCAGAGGAGGAAGCCACGGCUAACUACGUGCCAGCAGCCGCGGUAAUACGUAGGUGGCGAGCGUUGUCCGGAUUUACUGGGCGUAAAGGGUGCGUAGGCGGAUGUUUAAGUGGGAUGUGAAAUCCACGGGCUUAACCUGGGGGCUGCAUUCCAAACUGGAUAUCUAGAGUGCAGGAGAGGAAAGCGGAAUUCCUAGUGUAGCGGUGAAAUGCGUAGAGAUUAGGAAGAACACCAGUGGCGAAGGCGGCUUUCUGGACUGUAACUGACGCUGAGGCACGAAAGCGUGGGUAGCAAACAGGAUUAGAUACCCUGGUAGUCCACGCCGUAAACGAUGGAUACUAGGUGUAGGGGGUAUCAACUCCCUCUGUGCCGCAGUUAACACAAUAAGUAUCCCGC